rnacentral:rRNA from 1 species
GACAGAGGUCCCGAGCGUUGUUCGGAUUCACUGGGCGUAAAGGGUGCGCAGGUGGGUUGGCAAGUUUGAUGCGAAAGCCCCGGGCUUAACCCGGGAAUGGCAUUGAAUACUGCUGAUCUGGAGGAUUGGAGGGGGGACUGGAAUUCUUGGUGUAGCAGUGAAAUGCGUAGAUAUCAAGAGGAACACCAGUGGCGAAGGCGAGUCCCUGGACAAUACCUGACACUGAGGCACGAAAGCCAAGGGAGCAAACAGG